rnacentral:misc_RNA from 1 species
AAUUUUUGAAACUUCAUAAUCAUGUACUUGGGCAUUGAUGUAAGCAAAUUGCUUAGUCUAAAUGAUCACAAAAACCUGACGUGUUUUCAAUUAGAAAUUACUAUCCAAAACUGUAUUUUUUUCCAUGAAAACCUAAAUCACCCAUUAGAGAUAAAAUAGGUACUGCAGAGAUCUACAAGGUAGUCGAAGAUGCAGGGGUAAUGGAUUUAUGUUUUAUUAUAACCCAACAUGUGAUAUUUCCUUUCGAGGGCCUCAAUGUUUACCGAAUGUUGUGGGAAGAGAUGGGAAGUAUGGAGAACACUAAAUUUUCAUUCUUUAUAAAGUUUUUUCUUUAUGUUAAAAUGAUAACAUACUAUGUAAUAAAUUAAAUAUAGCAGAUUAUGUGUUAGUUCUUGUUCUAUUGGAUGAGUUCCAAUGAUUAGACUUGCGUUGUUUCUACCCAAACUUGCAGUUCUUCCAUACAUUUGAUCACUUAAAUUAUGGCUUUAACAUUUGGUUGUAAUUUUCCUGAUUGG